UAGUGUACCUUGCGCCGAGUUGAUAGUCUUUUGUUUUUUUUGAAGUUAUGUUUACAAACGUGUUUCGUGGGGCGAAAAGUAAAUUCCCGGUGCUGUGAACUGAAGCCCAAAUGACAUAUCUAGCUUUUGAGGAAGGCUUUGUAUUUUAACAACUAAAAGGAGAAAAAGGACAACCAACCAUGGGACCUAUUCAGAAGUCAUUGAAAUAAGUUUUCCGUAUCUCUUAGUGAAAAUGUAUAUAAUAUAAGUAUUAAGACAAACAAAAAAUCAUCCUCAGAUGUAUUUCUUUAAUUUUUAAGACUUUUCCACUUGUUCAUUUGACUUAAUAAAAGUUUCCUAUUUCAAAA